rnacentral:rRNA from 1 species
GAUGAACGCUAGCGGCAGGCUUAAUACAUGCAAGUCGAGGGGUAACAGGUCUGUAGCAAUACAGAUGCUGACGACCGGCAAACGGGUGCGGAACACGUACAGAACCUUCCUUCGAGUGGGAGAUAGCCCAGGGAAACUUGGAGUAAUAUCCCAUAGGAUCAUAGAGUGGCAUCACUUAGUGAUUAAAGAUUUAUCGCUUGAAGAUGGCUGUGCGGCUGAUUAGGUAGUUGGUGUAGGUAACGGCUCACCAAGCCUUCGAUCAGUAACUGGUGUGAGAGCACGACCAGUCACACGGGCACUGAGACACGGGCCCGACUCCUACGGGAGGCAGCAGUAAGGAAUAUUGGGCAAUGGAGGCAACUCUGACCCAGCCAUGCCGCGUGGAGGAUGAAGGUCCUCUGGAUUGUAAACUUCUUUUAUUUGGGAAGAAAUGCCGAUUUUCUAAUUGGUUUGACGGUACCAGAUGAAUAAGCACCGGCUAACUCCGUGCCAGCAGCCGCAGUAACAC